rnacentral:tRNA from 1 species
UCCGGCCGGGGCCGUUGGGGUGUGCGUUAUGGCGCCUAUGAUGCGCCGGGUUUUGCCGUCGUUCUGACCGGUGCGGCAUGGA